GAUGAACGCUGGCGGCGUGCCUAAUACAUGCAAGUCGAGCGAACAGAUGAGGAGCUUGCUCCUCUGACGUUAGCGGCGGACGGGUGAGUAACACGUGGAUAACCUACCUAUAAGACUGGGAUAACUUCGGGAAACCGGAGCUAAUACCGGAUAAUAUAUUGAACCGCAUGGUUCAAUAGUGAAAGACGGUUUUGCUGUCACUUAUAGAUGGAUCCGAGCCGCAUUAGCUAGUUGGUAAGGUAACGGCUUACCAAGGCAACGAUGCGUAGCCGACCUGAGAGGGUGAUCGGCCACACUGGAACUGAGACACGGUCCAGACGCCUACGGGAGGCAGCAGUAGGGAAUCUUCCGCAAUGGGCGAAAGCCUGACGGAGCAACGCCACGUGAGUGAUGAAGGUCUUCGGAUCGUAAAACUCUGUUAUUAGGGAAGAACAAAUGUGUAAGUAACUAUGCACGUCUUGACGGUACCUAAUCAGAAAGCCACGGCUAACUACGUG
rnacentral:rRNA from 1 species